UCUAAAAAUAUUUAAUUUUUGGUAGAAGAGGAUGACAUUUAUAAAUAAUAAAUAAUAGUAAUAAAAUCAUAACAUAUUUGUUUCAUGUAAAGAGAAGAUAAUAUGUCAAAAGUUGACAAGUUUGUUUAUGUUUUUUUCAAUUUUCUUUGCAUAAUUCUUUUUGCAAUGAACGUUGAAUGUAAGCCAUUUAUUUUUAUCAUUUACAAAUUUGUUUAUUUAAUUUCUAUUUUUAAUGUUUUAUCUCACUAACUUAGUAACAUUCUUUUUUCACUGCAGCAUAUAUUAAUUGUACUAGCGAUUCUGAUUGUCCAGAGUUUUUGUGCAGCUAUCCUAUAAAACCGAAGUGUUUAACAUUGAAAAGAAUGGACAUGAUUAUAGGGGGAAAAUGUGCAUGUCUUUCAUAAAUGUGCAUAUAAUCUCUUGCUACAAAUUUUAUGAAUCGUCAUUAAGUUAUUAAGUUAUUGUUUUGACAUUCAAAUAUUUUAAAAUUUUCUUUUUUCUUCUAAAGAAAAACGUAGUUUUGGGAUUUGUACUCUGAAAUAGCUGUAAUGAAAUGAAAUAAUGCAUUGAAUUGAUAUUUAUAUUAUGUUCUAACUGAUAUCAUGAACUAUUAUUACUCACAUCUUGUUGAUCCUCAAUUUCCUAUUCUAAUUUAUAGUAUAGUUUUAGAGCUAACUAAAUUAAGUCGUGCUAGGUGAGGUUUUGCAUCGUUCCCUAUGCAUGACAAUGACAAAUAAUCUAUACAUCCACUUGCAAGGAGGAAUAACUUAGCUAGUCGGAAGUAGAUGAACCAACGGUUAAAGAAGUAAGAAGUUCAUGAUUCCAUCUCUCGCAAAGAAAAGAAAUACAAAAUUUACAGUUAAAUACUAAUAACUUCUCAUUAAAAAAAAUCUAUUCCUCCUCUUGAAUUGUACACACUAUUAGAAACUCACUUAUUUCUUGCAUAUAAUGGCAAAAAAUAUGCAGGAAAUGGUUUUCCUUUAAAAAAAAUUAUAAUAUCAGAUAUUAAACGUGGUACGAAAUAUAAUACAAUAGUAAAGUUACAUUAGUACAUGAGUUUGCAUCCAUACAAGGCAUGUUCGAAAUAGUACAAACAUGAUAAAAGGUACAAUAGAAGAAAAUAACUUACGCUAAAGUAAGAUCUUCAUCGUGACAUCUUCAAGUCGUCGUGUCCUUACCUUUAGCACCUGACAGAAUACAUGUAAUCAUUAUAAUAAGAUGGAGUGAGAUACGGGAUUCUCAUAUUUAAGAGUCCACUCGAUCAAUGGGUUUCUAUCGGUCGAUAUGACUUUAGUGAAACAUCAACCUCCAAACCUAAGGUUUAUUACUUUAAUUCUUAAUAAAUAUACAUGAUUCUUCAAUGAUUGGUAUAAAGUUAGUUAUGAGUAGUUAGUCGUUACAUGAAAUCGGGAUUUUACACUUAAGUAACCGAGGCAUAUCCUCGAAGCCGCUGAAACUAGGAUACAUGUGAAGCUAAGUAAGUAAUUCGUC
rnacentral:lncRNA from 1 species